rnacentral:rRNA from 1 species
ACGCUGGCGGCGUGCCUAAUACAUGCAAGUCGAACGCUUUUUUCAAUCAUCGUAGUUUGCUACACCGAUUGAAAAUUGAGUGGCGAACGGGUGAGUAACACGUGGGUAACCUGCCCAAAAGAGGGGGAUAACACUUGGAAACAGGUGCUAAUACCGCAUAACCAUGAUGACCGCAUGGUCAUUAUGUAAAAGAUGGUUUCGGCUAUCACUUUUGGAUGGACCCGCGGCGUAUUAACUUGUUGGUGGGGUAACGGCCUACCAAGGUAAUGAUACGUAGCCGAACUGAGAGGUUGAUCGGCCACAUUGGGACUGAGACACGGCCCAAACUCCUACGGGAGGCAGCAGUAGGGAAUCUUCCACAAUGGGCGCAAGCCUGAUGGAGCAACGCCGCGUGAGUGAAGAAGGUCUUCGGAUCGUAAAACUCUGUUGUUAGAGAAGAACAUGCGAGAGAGUAACUGUUCUUGUAUUGACGGUAUCUAACCAGAAAGCCACGGCUAACUACGUGCCAGCAGCCGCGGUAAUACGUAGGUGGCAAGCGUUGUCCGGAUUUAUUGGGCGUAAAGGGAACGCAGGCGGUCCUUUAAGUCUGAUGUGAAAGCCUUCGGCUUAACCGAAGAAUUGCAUUGGAAACUGGAGGACUUGAGUGCAGAAGAGGAGAGUGGAACUCCAUGUGUAGCGGUGAAAUGCGUAGAUAUAUGGAAGAACACCAGUGGCGAAAGCGGCUCUCUGGUCUGUAACUGACGCUGAGGUUCGAAAGUGUGGGUAGCAAACAGGAUUAGAUACCCUGGUAGUCCACACCGUAAACGAUGAAUGCUAAGUGUUGGAGGGUUUCCGCCCUUCAGUGCUGCAGCUAACGCAAUAAGCAUUCCGCCUGGGGAGUACGACCGCAAGGUUGAAACUCAAAGGAAUUGACGGGG